GAGUUUGAUCAUGGCUCAGAUUGAACGCUGGCGGCAGGCUUAACACAUGCAAGUCGAGCGGUAACAGGGGGAGCUUGCUCCCCGCUGACGAGCGGCGGACGGGUGAGUAAUGCAUAGGAAACUGCCCAGUAGUGGGGGAUAGCCCGGGGAAACCCGGAUUAAUACCGCAUACGCCCUUUGGGGGAAAGCAGGGGAUCUUCGGACCUUGCGCUAUUGGAUGUGCCUAUGUCGGAUUAGCUAGUUGGUGGGGUAAGAGCCUACCAAGGCGACGAUCCGUAGCUGGUCUGAGAGGAUGAUCGGCCACAUCGGGACUGAGACACGGCCCGAACUCCUACGGGAGGCAGCAGUGGGGAAUAUUGGACAAUGGGGGCAACCCUGAUCCAGCCAUGCCGCGUGUGUGAAGAAGGCUUUCGGGUUGUAAAGCACUUUCGCCAAGGAUGAUAAUGACAGUACUUGGUAAAGAAACCCCGGCUAACUCCGUGCCAGCAGCCGCGGUAAUACGGAGGGGGUUAGCGUUGUUCGGAAUUACUGGGCGUAAAGCGCACGUAGGCGGACUUUUAAGUUAGAGGUGAAAUCCCAGGGCUCAACCCUGGAACUGCCUUUAAUACUGGAAGUCUUGAGUUCGAGAGAGGUAAGUGGAAUUCCAAGUGUAGAGGUGAAAUUCGUAGAUAUUUGGAGGAACACCAGUGGCGAAGGCGGCCUCCUGGAUCUGUACUGACACUGAGGUGCGAAAGCGUGGGUAGCGAACAGGAUUAGAUACCCUGGUAGUCCACGCCGUAAACGAUGACAACUAGCUGUUGGGAGACUAUGUCUUUCAGUGGCGCAGCUAACGCUUUAAGUUGUCCGCCUGGGGAGUACGGCCGCAAGGCUAAAACUCAAAUGAAUUGACGGGGACCCGCACAAGCGGUGGAGCAUGUGGUUUAAUUCGAUGCAACGCGAAAAACCUUACCUACUCUUGACAUACUUGGAGGCUCUUGUAAUGAGAGUGUGCCCUUUGGAACCAAGAUACAGGUGCUGCAUGGCUGUCGUCAGCUCGUGUCGUGAGAUGUUCCGUUAAGUCGGAUAACGAGCGCAACCCUUACCCUUAUUUGCCAGCGAUUCGGUCGGGAACUAUAAGGGGACUGCCGGUGAUAAACCGGAGGAAGGUGAGGACGACGUCAAGUCAUCAUGGCCCUUACGAGUAGGGCUACACACGUGCUACAAUGGGAGAUACAGACGGACGCUAAGCCGCGAGGUGGUGCUAAUCCUAAAAAGUCUUUCGUAGUCCGGAUUGGAGUCUGCAACUCGACUCCAUGAAGUCGGAAUCGCUAGUAAUCGCGGAUCAGCAUGCCGCGGUGAAUACGUUCUCGGGUCUUGUACACACCGCCCGUCACACCAUGGAAGUGGAUUGCACCAGAAGUAGAUAGUCUAACCUUAGGGAGGGCGUUUACCACGGUGUGCUUCAUGACUGGGGUGAAGUCGUAACAAGGUAACC
rnacentral:rRNA from 1 species